rnacentral:lncRNA from 1 species
UGGGUAGUGCUCAUCUCUCAUACGUGCUAGAGAUUUACCAGCUUAUGACUGGCAGUGAAGAAAACCAAUAAGCGAUUUUUGUGUUUGUGAUUAUCUGAAGAAAGAAAGGAAAAUCGGGGCAGCUAGGGUUUAGGUUUUGUUGGCAUACGUUUAACUAAACUACAAUAUACAAUACACCCGCAGACCGUACACUGUUGAAAAAGCUUCUGAUGAGGGAGAAGAAGAGAACUUUGAUAGAGAUGCAACGUGCAGCUUGUUUGUACUUUAAUCGAUUCCUCACCAGAGCCAAU